GUGUCAGCCGCCGCGGUAACACGUAGGCACCAAGCGUUGUCCGGAUUUAUUGGGCGUAAAGAGCUCGUAGGCGGUUUCGUUAGUCGGGUGUGAAAACUCUGGGCUCAACCCAGAGACGCCACCCGAUACUGCGAUGACUUGAGUACGGUAGGGGAGCGGGGAAUUCCUGGUGUAGCGGUGAAAUGCGCAGAUAUCAGGAGGAACACCAGUGGCGAAGGCGCCGCUCUGGGCCGUAACUGACGCUGAGGAGCGAAAGCGUGGGUAGCAAACAGGAUUAGAUACCCCCGUAGUCC
rnacentral:rRNA from 1 species